CAGAAGCCAAGAUCCCCAUCUCCCACCCCGCUCCCUCAUUACGACUGCUCUGCGGCACCAUCAGCAGAGAGCAGAGUCCGCGGCGGCGGAAGAGAACAGCAAUGGGCUGGAGUUCCUAACAGAUCCUGUCGACAGGUUCCCUGGCCGGAUCUUGAAACCAACGAUUUAACUCCGGCCGGUGAGGCAGGUACUUGCCUCACACAGUCGGCUGCUGAAUCAAGCAUGGGAGAAAGAAGACCCUCAAGGCCCCGGUUGGACUAGAAGGAUUCGUAUUGGGCGAGCCCCUAUUGAGCGCACACCAUGCGCUGGAAGAGAAUGUGCCCUUGAAAAAACAGAGGAUACGUGCCUCAAAAGAAAAGGAGAGAACCGAAAUGCUCGAUCUGCGGGGUGGGAGGUCAUUAGAAGAACACCUGCAACAAUCCUAAGAUUGUGGUACAUGUUGCCGAGCAAACAACUCAUGAUCCUGCUAUCGAUCAGUGAUAAAUCUAUGCAAGCACGAAAGCAUGUCAAGUAGCACCCAGUUUGUUACUGUAUCCUGGUUGAUCAAUGCCACUUUCCUGAUGUGUAUUGUGUAUAUCAGCUUAGUAAUCUGUACUUGUCUUAACCAUGGCAA